AUCGCGAGAGCGGCGACCGCAGCGCUGGAUGGCGCUGGUGGGGGCUAGAUGCGCCCACGGCUCGCCCUCUCUCCCCGUUAAAUCACACGGUAGGGCACGCGAUCGGACGGAGACUGGCGGCGACAGCGGCUGGGGUGAGUUACACAAAAACAAAAAACUACAACAACAACAACAAACAACAAACCUGCACGCUACGCAGUGCACGGGACUCCAUCGCGGCGGCUGGAGAGACCGUGAGGACGCGCAUGUGACCGCACCGGACAGAGCAAAGUGAAAGAAGAGAAGAAAGCAUCGAAGGAGUCCCCACAUGGGAGCAACAGUGCUGUCUAAUCCACUUUUAUCUGACAGAAUCUGCCAAAGGACGCUUUGGAAACGCUCUCAUGUCUUCAGACACAAACUGCUAAAUCCGAGGAGCUAAAAACAGAAAAACAAAAAAGCCAACCGCUGGCUGUUCCAAGUGGACAGAUUUUAAAGUAAAAACACGGCUGGAGAGGGAGAGGAUUGUAUGGUUGCCAAAUCCCCCUCCGAGACAAACCGCAUCUUCUCAAUCUACGGCCGCCGCCUCUCUCCUCGUCCUCCUUCCACCUCCUCGUCCUCCUCCGCCCUUCUUUCAUUCUCCCUCGUUCUCUCUCAUGGGAGUGACAUAGAGGCCGUCGCUCGGUCUGCCGCCCCGCCCCUCCUCCGCCUCGCCGUGGGAACAGGGGCGUCCAGGUAGUGAUGUCGUGGAAGAGGAACUACUUUGCGUCGGGUGGUGGAGCGGCAGGCGGGGUGCAGGGGCUGGUGACCCCGAGAACCAUGACCUCCAUCGCACCCAGCAAAGGCCUGAGCAACGAGCCGGGACAGAACAGCUGCUUCCUGAACAGCGCUCUGCAGGUUUUGUGGCAUCUCGACAUCUUCCGCAGAAGCUUUCGACAGCUGACCACCCACAAGUGCAUGGAGGACUCGUGUAUCUUCUGCGCUUUAAAGAGUAUCUUCGCCCAGUUCCAGUUCAGCAGCGAGCGCGUCCUGCCGUCUGAUGCGCUGCGCAGCGCUCUGGCCAAGACCUUCCAAGACGAACAACGCUUCCAGCUGGGCAUCAUGGACGACGCUGCUGAGUGCUUUGAGAACCUCCUGAUGCGCAUUCACUUCCACAUCAGCGCCGAGAGUCGAGAGGACAUCUGCACCGCCAAGCACUGCAUCCCACACCAGAAGUUUGCCAUGACUCUGUUCGAACAGUGUGUGUGCAACAGCUGUGGAGCCACAUCAGACCCCCUGCCUUUCAUUCAGAUGGUUCAUUACAUCUCCACUACAUCCCUCUGUAACCAGGCAGUGAGGAUGCUGGAGUGCAGAGAGAAACCAACACCGGACAUGUUCGGAGAGCUGCUCCGCAACGCCAGCAACAUGGGAGACCUGCGCAACUGCCCCAGCAACUGUGGGGAGGUGCUGCGUAUCCGCCGGGUGCUGAUGAACUCGCCAGAGAUCGUGUCCAUCGGCCUGGUGUGGGACUCGGACCACUCUGACCUAGCGGAGGACGUCAUCCACAGCCUGGGAACCUGCCUGCGACUGGGAGAUUUGUUCUACCGUGUGACAGAGGAGAGGGCUCGCCAGGCGGAGCUCUACUUGGUGGGCAUGGUGUGCUACUACGGCAAGCACUACUCCACCUUCUUCUUCCAGACCAAGAUACGCAAGUGGAUGUACUUCGACGACGCCCACGUCAAAGAGAUCGGCCCAAAGUGGAAGGACGUAGUGUCUCGCUGUAUCAAAGGCCACUAUCAGCCCCUGCUGCUGCUCUACGCUGACCCCCGUGGGACACCGGUGAUACUGCAGGAGAGCCCCAACCCCUGUACCAGCUCCAACCCGCAGCUCGAGCUCCAGCACUGCAGCAGCAGCAGCAAGGCUGGUUACGACAGCGAAGACUCCGGUCGGGAGCCAUCCAUAUCCAGCGACACUCGCACCGACUCCUCAACGGACAGCUCGAGUCACCGCGCUUCUCGCGGCCGGUCCCUCCACCAGUCGACCGGCAGCCACCUCUCCAGCGAGUCCCAGACCACGGUGGUCUGCAACUACGACAUCGGCACACCGCCGCUCGGGGCCGACGCUGGAGAGUCAGCAGUGGAGGGUCCUCCCCGGCCUCCCUCUCCCCCCCUGCAGGAGUACAAGGAGACGGCCGUCUUCCUCCUCUCCUCCCGCAGGCCUCUCACCUCCUCUUCCUCCUCCUCUCGGCCCCUGUCUUCCUCCUCUUCGUCAGGAGUCGGGGGCUGUGAGGGCGGGGCUGGGGGGCCCCACUGGGAGGAUGAGAGCACCAGCAGUGAGAGCAAGUCCAGUUCUUCUGGAGGCCGCUACAGGCCGACCUGGAGGCCCAGGAGAGAGGCCCUGAACAUUGACAGCAUCUUCACCCGACAGAAGGGCUCCUCUCUGGGCUACAGCACGCUACCCGGCCCCCCUCUCCCCCCGGAGCCCCAGGACUCUCUCCCCUCGGCGGGACCUGCUCCACCACAGCCGGGGCUGCAAGAGGCGGAAGGGAGGGAGGUCGGGGAGUUGGAGGCGGGGUUUGGGCUGGUCGGGCAGCCCAGGUCUCUGGGCGGCGGCGGGCGGACGAUGGGUCCCCCUGCCCCUCCACCUCUGAGAGGGGUGGAGCACCAGCCACGUCUGAUCCAGAGGAUGGAGAGUGGCUACGAGAGCAGUGAGAGGAACAGCAGCAGCCCCGACAGGGAGGUUGGGCAACAGAAACGGGUGCUGAUGUCAGGACCUUCAUGGCGUUCGGUGCCCAAGUCAAAGAGCAGCAGUGCCAUCCUGCAGGAGCUGCCUUCACCCAGCUGGGGCGGCGGCGGCGGCACCAACACAGGCUCAGGACGCAGUGAGCUGGACGAGCUGCAGGAGGAGGUGGCGAGGAGAGCCCGCCAGCAGGAGCAGCAGAAGAGGAAGGAGGCGGAGCGCGAGGCGGCCAUGGGAUUCAACCCCAAACCCAGCAAAUUCAUGGACCUGGACCAGCUCCAACACCAGGCUGUGCUCAGACCCCUGCAUGAGGCUAACGCUCAUAGCGGAUUGGCUGUAGCUGCGUGCAUGAGGAGCACUGGGGGCCCAAUCAAACGCAGGCAGGAACAAGAAAUGGAACGGGAGACAGGAAGCACCCGCCCACAGGGGCCUCGCAGUGAACAGCCUGGCCCGGUCCAAGUACUGCUGACGCCCAAUCAGGAGGAGGAAGAGGACCAGGCGACGCCCAUCCAGGAUGCUCCUCUGGGCCAGGACCCGCCCCCUCCUCCGCCCUACCGGCCCCCUCGACCCCCGCUCACCCUCAGCAUCGCUCACCCCUGCGCCCCUUCGGAGGCGGCGGCGGAGGAUGGAGGCGGGAGGAGAGGAGGAGGCGGGGACGGGCGGGAAGGGACGGGGGUGAGGCUGUGCGAGCUGCUGCAGGCCGGGGGGGUGAGUGUCAGACCCCUGGGGAAGCACUUAGCCAUCUCUCUGCCCUCGCUUCCUCUGCGUCUCUGGGAUACACACAGCGCCACACACACCUCCUCACACCUCCAACCCACGCACACACGCCCUCCACCUCCCCCUCCGCCCUCCUCUCCUCCCCCGUCCCCCCCUUUGGAAGCUUGCGGUGAGAGGAAGCCUCCCGUCACGCCGCUCUGGCAGCCGCCCCGGCCCCAUUCUCCCACCGCCGCCGCCGCCGCCGCCGCCACCGCCACCGCCACCGCUGCUCCUCAGCACUGGCCGAGGUACGGAGCCACGCCCUCAGACGGCGCCACCCGUCAUUGGUCCUCUUGGAGUUUGGACCGCCCCGACGCCGUGGUGACGCCUUACGACACGCCCCCAGACCGCUGCGUUCCCAUCAGGCCUCCGAUGUCCAACAGUCAGAAUUACAGCUACAGUUGUCAGUCCUCUCCCGGGCACUACAGCUCCCAGCAUGCCCCGGGGCGACACAGCGAUCCCUGCUGUGAGCGCGAAGAGGCCGAGCUGUCCGAACUCGACUCCCUUUACCAGGCCAGUCUGCUGGCUGGGAAAACAGGCUGCAGCCCGUCAGAGAGGCUCAUAUCCAGGGUGGGAGGGCAGGCUCGCUCCAAGACCCCCAACGCAGACAUGGAGAGGAGCGUGUACGGGGCCGACUGCACCAGCACCCCCACCUACCUCAACAAGCCAAUGAUGUUGCGGGAUCUGCGUUUCGGGGCGGAGCCUGACGAUGGGGAGAACCUGAGGCGGAUUGGACGCAGCCUGAGCGGCACGGUGGUGACCUCGCGUCGCAGCCGCCUCACUGCAACCCGCAGCUUCGUGAAGCAGGCUGAUGUCAGUGCCUCUCCUUGCUUACUUCCUCUCUUCUGAGUCCCUGUUGCUAUUCCACCGCUAUCAUCUCCUCCAUCCUCCUCAUCACCAACACCUUCAUCACCACCUCCCUCCUCCGCUUCACAGGAGCUGUCGGGCGGCGCAGGGAGUUUCUGGCUGUGUCUGACGGGGGUCAAGCUGUCUUCGGACCAGAGUCCCGCUGUGUUUCAUUAAAACGUCCCACCGCCUCCACAUGGGGGCAGCAGCAGCAGCGCCGGCGUCCCCCCCGACAGCCUCGCCUUGACGGACCUGGAAUCGGCUCAGGAGGAUCGACUCGACUCCUUAUCCUGUUCCUCCUACCCCCCGUCUCAAAACGACAUGCACAUGCAAACACAUGCACGCACACAUGCACAUCUGCACUGACGUAGAGCCUCCCUCAGCGCCUGCAGCACCCCGCUUAGCCCCUCCUUGCCUUCCUCCCUCUUUCCUCCCUCCUCGACCUACUAUUCUGUCUAUGCAGUCACUCUGACCCCCAACUACAACCUCAACCUUUUCCCCCCUUUACUUCCCGGGACUGUUUCUCGUCUCCCCCUGGGUUUUUCCGAGGGUUUUUUCCCUGUGCAGUCAGAAAGGUGUCGCUCACCGGCCGGGGUCUCAGCAGACUCCAACUGCCACCCACGGGACCCCUCAGCUCAGGGGGAGACUCUAACCAAGUAGCCACGCCUCUUCCUCUUUCUUCACGGGCAUUUCCUGAUGGACGCACACGUAGCUGAACUGGGUCUGUUUCCGAUGGACAGCCAUAUAUUUUCUCUUUUUCUUUUCGAGUUUUCUUCCUGUGUGUGCGCACAGUAAAUCCGCAGAGACUGAACUCUCUAAAUAACUAAAAGUCAUGUACAGAAAACUCAUGUAUGAAACCUGUAUGUUAAUUAAUAAGACCUUAUGGAAUGUUGAUAAUGAUAAUUAACGAAUAUUGAUAAACUAAAAGUGGUACUUCCUCAUGUCUGCAUUUCAAAUAGGAGUGGAGUGCACUUCACAAGUGUCUAGCUGGAGUUUCCGCCCCCAAACCGCUCGCCGAACCUAAUGACAGCUCUCCCGUUUCUACCGGGAGAUUAAACAAGAAAAGCGCUUUCUUUUUUCUCUGCUUCGUUCCUGGUUCUUUUCUUUCUACCUUUCCCCCUCGCUGUCGUUUUUAUUCUUUUUUGACUUUCUUUGUUCCGAACAGGAAACGGUAGCACCACAAAUAGGCCAGCAGGGGAGGAAAGUCGAGAGCGAGCGAGCGAGCGAGCGAGAGAAUGUAGGUCAGAAAAACCCUUCUCUUAGGCUUUAUCAAUGAAAGCAGAUGACUCAAGUGCACUUUGCAAGGUUUUUUUCUCGGCAGAAGUGCACUUUCCGAAGGCUAUUAGACUGAGAAGCAGCUGGAGAGAAGUCGAUGGCGUUUGUUUUAACUUCAAGGCCUCAGGUGAACUUCAGUGGCACUUAUAAAUUUCUUUUCUUUUUCUCUCCCUCCCACUGAAACUGGUUUCGAGACCUCAGAUGUGAAUAGAAAAAAAAUGCUCAUCUUCAGCCUGAGACAGUGACAUGUCUAAUAUGAAUAUGCUUUAUAUGAUAUAUAUGUAUUAGAGGUAUAUUUUCAGCCAGUGAGCUAUCUUCUUCAGAGAUGUCAACCAUUCCUCAGUUGUAUGAACAGUUAUUCUACAGUUCUGACUUAAUUGACUCCCCCCCUCUUUAUUGAGUAGCAUUCUGACAUGUGUAGAGUUACAUUUAUUAUAUGCUUUAUUCUAUUAAAUAUCAUAUAAAUGAACAAAGUCCUUAUACAACAAACGGCCAAUGUAAAGUUCUUCAAGAAUUUACUGAUGUUUGAUUGAUAACUAAACCAAAGGUUGGCACUUAACUCAGAGAGCGUAUUUAACAAUUUUUAUUUUUCAUUUAGAUUUUGUUGGUUUUUUUGUUUUUGGUUUGUUUGUUUGUUCUUUUUUUGGGUUCUGGAUGUGGGAGAAUGUAGCCAAUUGUAGCGCAUGAGUCCGCUAUGCAAAUCAACCUUCCCUCACAAUCCUGUAUCAGAGACAGUCAGGAGGCAGACACACCCACCCACGGGCGAUCUCAUGGACUCUGGCAGAGACUCGGAGACGACGACGACGACGACCAGGUGGACGAGGAGAUCUCAUGUUUUAAUGCUGCUGGCGAACUUUGUUGUUCUGCAUCUACUGCUAAUGUUUUCAACCAAUGGAAUGCAAAAAGAGAGCAACAAGGAGGUCCGAGAAAGAGAGCGAAUGAAUGUAGAGGAUGACAGUUGUGUGUUUGCGAGUGAAGUGACGGUCGGAGGAGGAGGGUGGAGUGAUGAAGACGGUUUAUUUGUGGGUGUGUGUAGACUGUGUGUGUCAGUUCUGGGGUGGUGUUGCUCGGGGAAAGAGGGAACCUGUAUUUUUGCAAUAAAGUUAUUACCAAUGCACUCCCACAGGGGGCGUAACCACCGUAA